UCUCCGUAGGUGAACCUGCGGAAGGAUCAUUACAGAGUUCGUGCCCUCGCGGGUAGAUCUCCCACCCUGUGUUAUUGCUACCUUUGUUGCUUUGGCGGGCCGCCCUGGGCUACCGGCCCCGGCUGGUACGCGCCCGCCAGAGGACCCCAAACCCUGAACGUCAGUGUCGUCUGAGUACUAUACAAUAGUUAAAACUUUCAACAACGGAUCUCUUGGUUCUGACAUCGAUGAAGAACGCAGC
rnacentral:misc_RNA from 1 species